CGGGUGAGUAACACGUGGGCAAUCUGCCCUGCACUCUGGGACAAGCCCUGGAAACGGGGUCUAAUACCGGAUACUGACCGUCACGGGCAUCCGUGAGGGUCGAAAGCUCCGGCGGUGCAGGAUGAGCCCGCGGCCUAUCAGCUUGUUGGUGAGGUAACGGCUCACCAAGGCGACGACGGGUAGCCGGCCUGAGAGGGCGACCGGCCACACUGGGACUGAGACACGGUACAGACUCCUACGGGAGGCAGCAGUGGGGAAUAUUGCACAAUGGGCGAAAGCCUGAUGCAGCGACGCCGCGUGAGGGAUGACGGCCUUCGGGUUGUAAACCUCUUUCAGCAGGGAAGAAGCGAAAGUGACGGUACCUGCAGAAGAAGCGCCGGCUAACUACGUGCCAGCAGCCGCGGUAAUACGUAGGGCGCGAGCGUUGUCCGGAAUUAUUGGGCGUAAAGAGCUCGUAGGCGGCUUGUCACGUCGGUUGUGAAAGCCCGGGGCUUAACCCCGGGUCUGCAGUCGAUACGGGCAGGCUAGAGUUCGGUAGGGGAGAUCGGAAUUCCUGGUGUAGCGGUGAAAUGCGCAGAUAUCAGGAGGAACACCGGUGGCGAAGGCGGAUCUCUGGGCCGAUACUGACGCUGAGGAGCGAAAGCGUGGGGAGCGAACAGGAUUAGAUACCCUGGUAGUCCACGCCGUAAACGGUGGGCACUAGGUGUGGGCGACAUUCCACGUCGUCCGUGCCGCAGCUAACGCAUUAAGUGCCCCGGCCUGGGGAGUACGGCCGCAAGGCUAAAACUCAAAGGAAUUGACGGGGGCCCGCA
rnacentral:rRNA from 1 species